AUUGUGGCCUAAAGCUUUUCAAUUUUCCGCCAAAAAUAAACGCGGCAAAACAAAAAGCCUUUUAAUUACUUUCCCGAUUUUUUAGCCCAUUCUCUAGUAACUAUUCUUGCUAGGGUUUUUCUUAUCGAUUCUUAUUCAAGAGCUCCUCCCCUGUUAUUUCUGCUGAUAAGAAGAACGGUAAGAAGACUUGCUGCUGCUGAUCGGAGAGAACGAGAAAUACAAGUACUGGAAAAGAGCCAAACUUGCAGAAACUUUGGGAAUUGACUCACACGAAGAACGGACAUUGGGUUAAUGAUGCCUCUGCAGAAUUAAAUGAUAAGGUGAAAGAAUAUGUUGCUGAACAAAUUCAAAAAAUUGAAGAGGAUACUGAUCUGGACCCGGUUGUUAAUGCUGCAUUUGUGAAAUUUGUUGGAGAAACGUCAAGUUAUUUCCGUGGUCAAGGAUUAGGAGUUAAGUCAACAAGUAGGAAAUCUAUGAAUGGAAUUCAAGAGAAACUACAAGCACAACAAAAAGAGGUAGAAGAAGAACGUCGUAAAAGAGAGAGUGUAGAAUGCCAGCUAAAGGAAGUAAAGAUUCAGCUUGAGGAGGAGCGAAAAAGUCGAGAAGCCAUGGUGCGUGACCAAAAACUAUUGAAACAGAGCAUGAUGGCACUAGCAUCACAUUUGCUAAGUAAUGAGGAUGAGCGUGAGUAAACCAACGUAGCUGGCAAUAUGGUUCAUGCACAAGUUAUUGGAAGAAAAUUUGCUUUUAAAAUUGUUAUUAGAAUAGAAAUAUGACUCUUGGAGAUGUUCUUGUUAUUUUUUAUAAGUAAAAACAUAUGUUUUAGUGGUAUUUAGUUUUUAAAAGUAUGUAAAAUACUUGGUGCUUAAGUUGUAUUGACUUUUGCAAAUAUAUAUCAUAUAUCAAUUUUUAUAUA